rnacentral:rRNA from 1 species
CAGUCGCCGCGGUAAUACGUAGGGUGCAAGCGUUAAUCGGAAUUACUGGGCGUAAAGCGUGCGCAGGCGGUUAUAUAAGUCAGAUGUGAAAUCCCCGGGCUCAACCUGGGAACUGCAUUUGAGACUGUAUGGCUAGAGUGUGUCAGAGGGGGGGUAGAAUUCCACGUGUAGCAGUGAAAUGCGUAGAUAUGUGGAGGAAUACCGAUGGCGAAGGCAGCCCCCUGGGAUAACACUGACGCUCAUGCACGAAAGCGUGGGGAGCAAACAGGAUUAGAUACCCGCGUAGUCCCUGUCUCUUAUA